GGANUGAGACACGGCCCAGACUCCUACGGGAGGCAGCAGUGGGGAAUAUUGGACAAUGGGCGGAAGCCUGAUCCAGCAAUACCACGUGUGUGAAGAAGGCCUUAGGGUUGUAAAGCACUUUCAAUUGGGAGGAAAACCUACCGGUCAAUACCCGGUAGCUUGACAUUACCUUUAGAAGAAGCACCGGCUAACUCCGUGCCAGCAGCCGCGGUAAUACGGAGGGUGCGAGCGUUAAUCGGAAUUACUGGGCGUAAAGCGUGCGUAGGCGGUUCGUUAAGUCAGAUGUGAAAGCCCUGGGCUCAACCUGGGAACGGCAUUUGAAACUGGCGGACUAGAGUUUAGUAGAGGGGAGUGGAAUUUCAGGUGUAGCGGUGAAAUGCGUAGAUAUCUGAAGGAACACCAGUGGCGAAGGCGACUNCCCUGGANUAGAACUGA
rnacentral:rRNA from 1 species